UCCGUAGGCGGGUAAUUAAGUCAGAGGUGAAAUCCCACAGCUUAACUGUGGAACUGCCUUAGAUACUGGUUAUCUUGAGUUUUAGUGAAGUAGAUAGAAUGUGUAGUGUAGCGGUGAAAUGCAUAGAUAUUACACAGAAUACCGAUUGCGAAGGCAGUCUACUAACUAACAACUGUCGCUAAUGGACGAAAGCGUGGGGAGCGAACAGGAUUAGAUACCCUGGUAGUCC
rnacentral:rRNA from 1 species